GAAAGGCCGGAUGCACAUCGACCGGGUCCUCUCUAUCUACAUGCCUUUCAUGUGUUUUACCUUCUAAACGUGCAUAGAAAUUUAUGUGCCUACUAUGGUUGUAACAACCCACGGAAAAUAAGGGCUCGAAACCCGAAAGGGAGACAGACUGACCGGUCCCCCCUAAAAGGAAAGCAGCCAGUUCCCCCAUUAGGCACUCAACCCCCAAAGAUUUUCCGAAAAAGGAUAACGAGGCGGGCCUCUAUGAGGCUUGCUAUCGGAAUGAGAACAAUUUAAAUCCUUUAACGAGGAUCUAGCGGAGGGCAAGUCUGGUGCCAGCAGCCGCGGUAAUUCCAGCUCCGCAGGUGUAUAUCUAUGCUGCUGCGGUUAAAAAG
rnacentral:rRNA from 1 species